rnacentral:rRNA from 1 species
AACGAACGCUGGCGGCAGGCCUAACACAUGCAAGUCGAGCGAAGCCUUCGGGCUUAGCGGCGGACGGGUGAGUAACGCGUGGGAACGUGCCCUUUGGUACGGAAUGGCCCCGGGAAACUGGGAGUAAUACCGUAUGUGCCCUUCGGGGGAAAGAUUUAUCGCCAAAGGAUCGGCCCGCGUUGGAUUAGGUAGUUGGUGGGGUAAUGGCCUACCAAGCCGACGAUCCAUAGCUGGUUUGAGAGGAUGAUCAGCCACACUGGGACUGAGACACGGCCCAGACUCCUACGGGAGGCAGCAGUGGGGAAUCUUAGACAAUGAGGGAAACCCUGAUCUAGCCAUGCCGCGUGAUCGAUGAAGGCCUUAGGGUUGUAAAGAUCUUUCAGUGGGGAAGAUAAUGACUGUACCCACAGAAGAAGCCCCGGCUAACUCCGUGCCAGCAGCCGCCGUAACAC